GGAGUUAGCCGGUGCUUCUUCUGCGAGUAACGUCACAGAUGUAAGGUAUUAACUUACACCCUUUCCUCCUCGCUGAAAGUGCUUUACAACCCGAAGGCCUUCUUCACACACGCGGCAUGGCUGCAUCAGGGUUUCCCCCAUUGUGCAAUAUUCCCCACUGCUGCCUCCCGUAGGAGUCUGGGCCGUGUCUCAGUCCCAGUGUGGCUGAUCAUCCUCUCAGACCAGCUAGGGAUCGUCGCCUAGGUGAGCCUUUACCUCACCUACUAGCUAAUCCCACCUGGGCUUAUCCAUCAGCGCAAGGCCCGAAGGUCCCCUGCUUUCCCCCGUAGGGCGUAUGCGGUAUUAGCAGUCGUUUCCAACUGUUAUCCCCACAAAUGGGCAAAUUCCCAGGCAUUACUCACCCGUCCGCCGCUCGUCAUCUUCAAAAGCAAGCUUUUGAAUGUUACCGCUCGACUUGCAUGUGUUAGGCCUGCCGCCAGCGUUCAAUCUGAGCCAUAAUCAAACUCUGA
rnacentral:rRNA from 1 species